rnacentral:misc_RNA from 1 species
CCGAGUUUACAACUCCCAAACCCCUGUGAACAUACCUAUAUGUUGCCUCGGCGGAUCAGCCCGCGCCCCGUAAAACGGGACGGCCCGCCGCAGGAUCCACAAACUCUGUUUUUAUUGUAACUUCUGAGUAACAAAACAAAUAAAUUCA